rnacentral:rRNA from 1 species
UCGCGGCCUAUCAGCUUGUUGGUGGGGUGAUGGCCUACCAAGGCGACGACGGGUAGCCGGCCUGAGAGGGUGUCCGGCCACACUGGGACUGAGAUACGGCCCAGACUCCUACGGGAGGCAGCAGUGGGGAAUAUUGCACAAUGGGCGCAAGCCUGAUGCAGCGACGCCGCGUGGGGGAUGACGGCCUUCGGGUUGUAGACCUCUUUCAGCAGGGACGAAGGGUGACUGACGGUACCUGUAGAAGAAGCACCGGCCAACUACGUGCCAGCAGCCGCGGUAAUACGUAGGGUGCGAGCGUUGUCCGGAAUUACUGGGCGUAAAGAGCUCGUAGGUGGUUUGUCGCGUUGUUCGUGAAAACUCACAGCUUAACUGUGGGCGUGCGGGCGAUACGGGCAGACUGGAGUACUGCAGGGGAGACUGGAAUUCCUGGUGUAGCGGUGGAAUGCGCAGAUAUCAGGAGGAACACCGGUGGCGAAGGCGGGUCUCUGGGCAGUAACUGACGCUGAGGAGCGAAAGCGUGGGGAGCGAACAGGAUUAGAUACCCUGGUAGUCCACGCCGUAAACGGUGGGUACUAGGUGUGGGUUUCCUUCCUUGGGAUCCGUGCCGUAGCUAACGCAUUAAGUACCCCGCCUGGGGAGUACGG